rnacentral:tRNA from 1 species
GUCCCGUAGCUCAGUGGUAGAGCAUCUGCUUGGUGUGUAAAAGGUCCCAGGUUCAGUCCCCAGUUAAGAGGACCA